UCACUCUCUCUGACUUUAUCUAUUCAUUUCUGUCCGCAGGCAGGAAGAGAUGGCAGCCGCGGAGACUCAGCUCUACGCCAAGGUCUCCAACAAGCACAAGGGCCGCAGCACUGCCUCACUCUUGGACCCCCUCCUGGGAAUGGGCUUCCCGGCACAUACUGCGCUGAAGGCGUUGGCAGCUACGGGAAGAAAGACAGUGGAGGAGGCAUGUGACUGGCUACGUUGUCACCGCAACGACCCAUCUCUGGACGACCCCAUCCCCCAGGAGUACGCCCUCUUCCUCUGCCCCACGGGAACCCUGCUGGAAAAGCUGCAGGAGUUCUGGAGGGAGAGCAAGCGUCAGUGCACGAAGAACCGAGCCCACGAGGUCUUCCCUCACAUAACGCUCUGUGACUUCUUCACGUGCGAAGACCACAAGGUCGAGUGUCUGUAUGAGGCUCUGAAGAGAGCUGGGGACAGGAUCCUGGGUUCCUUCCCCGCGGUGCUCCCUCUGGUCCUGCACUCUUCCGUCAGCUAUCUGGGCUUCUUCGUGAACGACGGCCCCGCAGACGUCAUCCGGGAACUUGCCCUGACGUUCGCCACGGAAGCCUCUGUCUUGGCAGACUGCACUGUGAAGCCUUGCACCAAGCAGCUGCAUCUGACCUUGGCCCACAAGUUCUACCCCCACCACCAGAGGACGCUGGAGGAGCUGGCCAGAGCCAUCCACCCGGGUCACAGCUGCCAGUGGACCGCCGCGCUCUACUCCCGAGAUAUGCGCUUUGUGCACUACCAGACCCUCAGGGCCCUCUUCCAGUACAAACCUCAGAACGUGGACGAGCUGACGCUAAGCCCCGGCGACUACAUCUUUGUGGACCCCACUCAGCAGGAGGAGGCCAGCGAGGGCUGGGUGAUUGGGAUCUCCCAGCGGACGGGCUGCCAGGGCUUCCUGCCCGAGAACUACACGGAGCCAGCCGGCGAGUCAGACACCUGGGUUAAGCACAGGACUUACACCUUCAGCCUGGCCAUGGACCUGAUGUCCAGAAAGGACAGUGAGGCCAGCAGCCGGCGAAACGGGGAAGCCCACCCUUCACAGACAUCAAGGGACAUCAGCAGCAUCCAAGCUUUACAGGCCACGAUAGCGAGAAGGAGUGUUUUGGUGGUGCGCCAUGGGGAGAGAGUGGACCAAAUCUUCGGGAAGUCGUGGCUACAGCAGUGCUCCACUCCGGAUGGGAAAUACUACCGGCCGGACCUCAACUUCCCUUACAGUCUGCCCAGAAGGAGAAACGGAAUCAAAGACUUUGAGAACGACCCGCCCUUAUCAUCGUGUGGAAUAUUCCAGUCCAGGAUGGCAGGGGAAGCACUACUGGACAGUGGCAUCAGAGUGACCGCCGCCUUCACCUCCCCGGCCCUCCGCUGUGUGCAGACAGCCAGACACAUCCUGGAAGAGCUCAAACUGGAGAAGAGCAUCAAGAUCAGAGUGGAACCCGGGAUCUUCGAGUGGACGAAGUGGGAGUCGGGCAAAACCACCCCGGCUCUCAUGAGCCUGGACGAGCUGAAAGAGGCGAACUUCAACGUCAGCACGGAGUACAGGCCUGCGUUUCCCCUCGCGUCCCUCCUGCCGGCCGAGAGUUACGACGAGUACGUGGAAAGGUGCGCGGUGAGCGUGGGACGGAUUAUUAGCGCCUGCCCGCGGGAUGCAGGCGUCAUCCUGAUUGUGAGCCACGGCUCGGCGCUGGACUCCUGCACACGCCCGCUCCUUGGGCUGCCGCCCCGGGACAGUGGAGACUUUGCCCACUUAGUGAGAAAGGUACGUGCCUGCCCCUUUCUCUUCAGGCCAUGAAGUCAAGCCCUGGAGCCCACAGGCUCAUCACACUUCCUUCUCAGAAUGGAAACAGGGUCCAGGCCACCAAGGGCAGCAGGGACCACCCCACCCACCUGUUCUUCUGAGGGUGGGCACACCUGCUCUUCUGCACAGGGCAGCCCUGGGCAGGGACUGAUGGGAGCAGCUACCAUCUUUAUCAUCACUAGGGCAACUUUGGCCAUUUUCUGCCCACAUUGCUAUCAUUAUAUAUUGUUAUUAUUACAAAAACUAAGAUACGGUAAUGCCGUGCAGCUCCGGUAGCGGGUAUGAAUGGUCCAGCGGGGAGUAAGCCCUGUGGACACCAAGAGAAAAAACGAAGGCUGGCCUGGCUUGCUCUGGGACCCCAGGGGUGGGGGUGGGGGGCAGGAGACCAGAAAGGAAUCCCACCCUCUUCCUUUGGAGUCAGCCUGCCAUGGGCCCCACAGGACUCUCUGUAGCCCGAGUGCCUGGGGCUGGUCUGGGGCUCUGCAAACACUUGUAGGCAACCAACAUGUAAAGAAGGACAGUGGGUACUGGGGCUGGGCUGGGGCUCUGCAAACACUCAUAGGUAACCAACAUGUAGAGAAGGACCGUGGGUACCGGGACUGGGCUGGGGCUCUGCAAACACUUGCAGGUAACCAACAUGUAAAGAAGGACAGUGGGUACUGGGGCUGGGCUGGGGCUCUGCAAACACUCAUAGGUAACCAACAUGUAGAGAAGGACCGUGGGUACUGGGGCUGGGCUGGGGCUCUGCAAACACUUGCAGGUAACCAACAUGUAGAGAAGGAUAGUGGGUACCUUGCACCCGCCUGUUGACCAUCACUCGGCAACCCAGAGGCAGCUUUAUCCAUUGGUAAGAUGAACCCAGGCAGGCAAACUGGGGCUCAAACCCACCCCUGCUCUGGCCUGGAAGAUCUACUCAGAGCCAGACUUGCCCCCCAUCCGUGGCCUUUCCAUCAAAUGAAUCAGUUGACCGAUGACCUUGAGGCUAGGAGUGCAGUGUGUGGACAAUACCCGUGAUGGGAGACGGGUCCCUGAGCCGGUUCCUUGGUGCGAAAUUGUCACAGGACCGUGAGCAGCCACAGCUUGGCCCCAGAGGAGCAGACCCCAGGACCCCCCUGACAGCACCAGCUCUGAGCCUGUGCAAAGUCCCCGGCUUUCAGAGCCCGCCCUGCCCGCCUGGGAAAGCCCGGUCAAGCCCGGCCCUCCCUUGCGGUGGGGGU